CGCCGCCGUCCCCAGCCGCCCUGCUCCGCUGUUGCCCCUCCCUCCGCCUGCCUCGCCCCUGAUCCCCCAAGCGAGCCACCGUCCUCCUCUCCAACCCCGGCCUCCACUCCACCGCGCACCGCCGGCGACGACUCCUCUCCCAGGCCACGGAUCCACCCGAGCAGCCGAGGCAGCGGUCAGAUCCGCCCGCCCUCCUUCACUCCCUAUUCACGCUGGAAACCCUAGCCACCCGACCAUGCCGAACGACCGCAGGCACGAGGAAUCUGCUGCUCCCCUCCUCCUCCAACGGUGGUAGUCAGGAAGGAGGUACAGUACAGCCAAGGGAGGGUUCUCCUCUUGGAUGUCCAAUUUAGGCACAAUAGAGAAAAGGUUGUUCUGACGAUUGAUAUCAACACUGCUUUCAAGAGGAUACACUGAUAAGCGAUGAAACCGAAUUAUUCAUAUUUCUGGAGCAUUUUUAGCUGGAGCUGCAGUGCAACCAUGUUUGUCCGCGUCGUGGUGAGGUGGAGAGCCAAAAUGCAUGAAGCUUAUGACAUGGGUGAAGGAGAUGAAAGCUCUAGGCAAGUAGGGAGUACCACAAGAUCUGACUCACCACCAUCUGAUCUAGGCACUGUCCGGCCGAGCUAAAGUGGUGCCUGUAUAUUGGACAAUUGUGGUGCUUCACGACGCUGUGAGAAGAUGAUCGAGGGUCAGCGGCACGGGUGCUUCGUCGUCAUCUUCAAUGAGUCCAAGUGAUUUAUAUCUGAUGCAACUCAAAAGAGAAUUCUGAAGCUGAUGAACUUGGAUGGUCUGACAGUCUACCAUACCAACCGACAUCUCCAUGUAAAUGGUGGCGGCUAGGGUGAUCAGGGAGGAUGACGCGCUAUGGCAGCAAUAAAAGCACAGUGCUGCUAUCUUUCUCGUGAUUGAAUCAUCCCAGUCUGAAAUCUGGGUGGAGUUCCCCAUGGCAAGUGAAUACCUUUCAACUGGAUGCUCGAGGGAGCAGGGUACCCUAUGAUGCAAGUGGAUGGUUGUAUAUCUGUUGUAAAUCAAACCAACUGUUCCCUUUUUCUGUACUACAAUUGUGGUUAUAUUACUGGUUUAUAAAUUUGCAGAGAAAAUGCAUUUGUUAUACCCUAUAUCUGAGCUAACAUCGUUUGCUUUCCAAUUGCAGCUUUAGAUUAGGCGUUUAUGUCAAGUUUAAUUUUUUCUUAAUCCCAGUUUUGUGCUAAUUAUAUCUUUUUUCUUUGAUGGGCAGUUGUAUUGCCGACUGAUGCAACCAUGUGCUGAUCUGCCGGCAGUGAGCGGGCAGAGUUGAGGGAGGGCGGCCAGCUGCCUGGCGGGUGCGCCGGCGAGCACAACGUGAAAGAGCCUGACAGCCUGUCCACUACCAGCUUAGUUGCUGACUCUUUGAUUGUCGUGCUGCCCCGUGCAAUGGCCAGCUGGUGAAGGGGAAGCCAUUGGAUUUGUAGGACUUUGUUGGCAUCACCACUAUGCUUGUUAUCACAAUCAGUUUCACUGAGGAAAAAACUGCCAGCGAUGUCUGCCCCUGUGCUCAUCAAUGAUUCCACUCUCCCUCUCUCUGUUGGCUGGUCCUGCCCAUGAAUAGGAUAAAUCACAGCCGUGGGGGUGCGCGGGUCCCAGCCAUGCGAUGUCCGGUUGUCGGAGCUUGACGCCGCCAUGGGCGACGGUGCUGACCCACCACCCUGGUGCCAACCCCUUGUCGAGCCAGCAGCCCCGGGCAGAGGAAGGCCACCCAGUCAUUGUUUUCUCCAUGAACAGACCAUCACUUGAUCCACGUCUUCAGAGUGUUGGUGCUCUGCCUUUCACCAGCAGCAACACUUCAGCGAAGUGGGCGGUUUUGUUGGGACAACGGAAUCUGCUCAUCUAAAGUGAAACUGGGAAUUGGACGAACGCUCUUCUACUCAGCUACUUGGACGUGCCCUCAAGGUCUCAGCUCAUGAGCCUCCCACUCUUCCUUGUGAAGCAGCAAAUGCAACAUACCUAAAGGUGCAUAAACUAAGGUGUACAUAAUUUAUUUUGUGGAGGAAGAAUAUGGUAACUUAAACAGUAUUACAUGUGAUGCCAUGUCGCUGCGGGGAAGCAUUCACACACUCACGUUUGGCAUGUUCCAUGCAGCAGACCUGUCGUCAUUGGUUGAGAUUUUGUUCAUUAGCAUAGGUUCAUGAAUGCCGAGCGCAUCCAAUCGACAUCGUCAAACUUUGGGCUCUAGCACUUUGCUCUGUUUGUGAGGAUGGAUCAAUAGUGCGCUCACCAAGUGGACAGCGGUAGAAGCAACACUCAAAAGGAGCGACACAACAAAGACGGAGGACGACAUCGAGCGGAGGCUAUAUAGAAUGAUUGCAGGUUUUAAUCAAGAAGUCCUCAAUAGGUGGACUGGCUCAAAAUGGAGAAGCAUGCUGGUAGCUUUUCUGUUGAUUGUAUUAAGCAUUUAAGUUUGUAGCAAUUCAUAACGUCAAAUCAUUGGGAUGCUUUGUAAUAUUUUAGAAGACUGUGUUUCUUUGCUGGAUCUAGCGUGCUGUCUAUAGAUGUCCUUACCUAUUUCCUUCUCACAUAUGGAAUGGGUUUUCGGAUAGCCUAGACAUACGGAGACAAUUUGGGGGUGUCGAUUCUCUCUCUCUCUCUCUCUCUCUCUCUCUCUCUCUCUCUCUCUCAUAGAAUAAUGAACAACCGAUAAGACUAAUAUUAUAUACCUUCUCAUCA